GCAAAAAAAAAUUGCAGUCUGUAACGACAAGUCAAAUUUCAACAAGCACUUCUACGUAUCGGCUAUCUUUUGUAUGCAGAUUACAUCCGGAAGUGUUGACAUUAUGUUGACAGUGACGUCAACGCCCACAAAUCCUGAGCGAUGAUUGGUCAAUCGGGGACACACCUCCAAAAUCCUCUUGUAUCCGGGCCAGCUGUUGAACCGCAGACAUACUGGUACCCGCGUUGUACGGUACGCAUAGGCCGUGACGUGAGACCAACGCGGAGAGAAUGCUAUGCAAUCGCCAUGCAAUCGCCAUGCACAUCGAUCACUGAGCUUUCAGUCGACUAGUCCACGCAGCUGUAACGACACGAAUCAGCUUUUUAUCCCUGAUAUUUUGCUGUCAACACUCAAAGGACGGAGGAGAACGUUCAUCAGCCAAGCUUGGGGAAAGAUAUGAGUGCAACUUCAAUGGCACGGACGGGGAGACAUCAAAAUUGCAGCGAGGAAUUUGACCAUACGAACUCUAGACAAAGUGAUCAAAAGUCACAGGAAUCAGAAAGUAAUUGCCAGGAGAAUAGUCGACAGUGAGCAGUUAUCUUCAUCAGUGUGACGGUGUACCUCAUCUGUAUAUAGAUUUUUACCUUUGUAUAUUUGGACAAAGCUUCGUGCCUGAAAUCCGUGCAAUACCAAACUUUUGUACCAGAAAAUAUAAAUUUUGUGAGGCAAUUUCUCAUGCCUAGAAAUAUUGAUCAGAUUUGGGUCUUUUCUGAGCAUAUGUAAAAUCCUGGUUGUUGUUUUUUUAUAAGUGAAGGGAGCUUUGAGCGUAUAAUCUUUUUUUGA